UACGUAGGAGGCGAGCGUUGUCCGGAGUUACUGGGCGUAAAGCGUGGGUAGGCGGCUCUGUGCGUCUGUGGUGAAAUCUCCCGGCUUACCUGGGAGGGGGGCUACGGAUACGGCAGGGCUUGAGGGCGUGAGAGGCUUGUAGAACUCCCGGUGGACCAGUGAAAUGGGUAGAGAUCGGGAAGAAUACCAGUGGUGCAGACGGCAAGCUGGCGCGUACCUGACGCUGAGCCACGAAAGCAUGGGGAGCAAACAGG
rnacentral:rRNA from 1 species